GUAUUGAUUGCGUGUGACCGCAAAAAAAAAAAGAAAAGAAUAACAUUCUACACUGUAUCAAGUUUUAUGUGAAGACGCAAGCCCUCCUUGCAUAAGGAGGGCCCACGCGGUGAUGCACAAGGGGGGUGAGAUGGAUUGUGUGAGAGUGUGCUUGAGCGUGCACAACCUUUUGGAAGGUCAGCGACAGCCCUCACACCUCGGUUGUACGAUAAUGAUCCUUCCGCAGGUUCACCUACGGAAA
rnacentral:misc_RNA from 1 species